rnacentral:rRNA from 1 species
UACGAAGGGGGCUAGUGUUGCUCGGAAUCACUGGGCGUAAAGCGCACGUAGGCGGGUCCUUAAGUCAGGGGUGAAAUCCCGGAGCUCAACUCCGGAACUGCCUUUGAUACUGGGGAUCUUGAGUCCGGAAGAGGUGAGUGGAACUCCGAGUGUAGAGGUGAAAUUCGUAGAUAUUCGGAAGAACACCAGUGGCGAAGGCGGCUCACUGGUCCGGUACUGACGCUGAGGUGCGAAAGCGUGGGGAGCAAACAGG